CUAAUAAUAUUAAUUAGAGUUUGUCCGUCGACUUGAGUAAUCGUAAAAAACAAAAAUUAUGUUGUCAAGUCAUAUAUUUAUCAAUAUGUUAGUGCACCCAUGCUCUUAGCCUCUUGGAUAUGCAGCCGGCCGAUCUUGGCAGUCCUCUGAAACCAUAUAAGGAAAAACCCUAAGACACUUUGUACAAUAUUACAUCAGCUUUUCACUACACCAAUGCUGUCUCAGUUUACCAUAAAUGAACACUAUACAUAAAGCAAAGAUCCUACUCCUACCUGACCGACUUCCCGUUUCAAAAUAAAUGAAAUAUUUUUAAAUUUAAUAAUAAUUCAACUUUAAACUCUUCAUUUUAUCCUUUUUGCCCUUAAUAAGAAACUUUUAUAGCCACACAAAUAAUAUAUCCUCACAAACUUUUUAACCUUUAAACUUUUAAGACCAAGUUUCAAAACUUUUCUUUUUUUUCUUAAACUCCGUGCCGAAUCAAACUAUGUCAAACAAUAUGAAACGGAAGGAGUAUAAAUUUCUGGACUUAAAAUAAGAAAUAUAUAGUAUGAAAAUGAUAGAGAAAACGGAGAUCCCUUUCACCAUUAGAACUAUAUAGAACUAAAAGCAUAUAAAACAUUGCAAAUAACUCCAAGAAAAUUCCACCAAAAUUCAAUUAUUUUGAACUAUAUAAUAUACGCUUUACAGUUUUAAGAUCAAGAAGCUAAACCGUAUUCACUAAAAUGUCUCCGGUUCAACAUAACUACAUUAUUAGAUAAUCUUACCCCCUGAAGAAUGAAAACAUCAGAAAAUAAAACUUUACUGGUUAUGCCUAAUUUUUGCAUUUGUCCCUGCCUUACCAAGAAGUCGCGGACAGCAGACCUAUCAGUCACCAGAAACUACAAUGUAAAGCCUAAGGGACCAAUGAUAUUUUUCACACCACAGAACAUGGAUAUGAAAUCUAAAAACAAAAUAGUAGCUGUGAAUUGCACAUUCAUGCAACAGACUUUUCGCCUUCAAGUGGAGACUCCUCUUGUAUCAUCCAACUCCUUUCAGCCGAACAAGGCCGGCCAAGUUUCUGCCAAUAAAAUGUUAUCAGUCAUAACAUCAAUCUGAAUGCAACACAUACAUAUGAAAUUUAUGUUUAACUUGAAAAGUGCAGGUUUUCUGACCAAUACGACAAAACUCCUAAUUGACAACCAGGUCCCACUGAGAUGUUAUAGAAAGAAAAUUCCAAGUCAUUAUGGAAGAACCAAUCUUACAUUUUCUCUUUCACCAAAAGUUUAAAAAAUCCAUGAGUUAAUUUAGAUAAUUUUUUGACUUAUUACUAAACUGUUCUACCAAACUGCUUCUUUGAAGGAAGUAAACCUUCAAGGCUUCAGCUCAAAUAUUUUGUCUGCUAUCGUUUUUCUCUUUGGGCAAAAUAUGAACUUGUAAAUACACAGAUCAGGUAGUAAAUAUGCUCAGCUCUUCGAGGGAGCUUUAGACUAUUUGUACAUAACUUAUAUGACAUUGCAACUCCUUGGUGCUUUCAGCUAGUUUCAUUUUAUAUGGCGGUGCUGAUUGAGCAAAGGACUUAUAAGAAUGAAAAUAAAACUUUCUCAGUUCCUUUCCUCAUCCAAUCCUAUCUCAUUUUGUCACGAUCUCAAAACUUCAAGAACUAUUAUACUUUCCCCAAUACUGUGAUGUUCUUGGGAAGAGAUGAUCUUAAACGAGUAUUUUAAGGUUACACAAAAUUACACCCUCACACCACCCCACCCCAACCCGGCCCCAAAAAAAAAGAAAAAAAGAAAAGAAAAAGGAUCAAGGAAAUGUGAAGUACGAACCCAAAUAAUCAUUAAAUAAUGGUUUAACCCACAACCCAUUUGUUGAACCAAACUUGGCAUCAAACAAAAUCAAAGAAAUAUCAUCCGCGCACUCACGGGAUAUAGUAUAUAAUACUAUAAUAUAGAAGAAACAUAGUUACUCUAAUCUAAAUAGAAGGCUGCUGAUGGGAUUUAUCAUUUCACGGUUGUGAACUAAAGGGAAAAAGGAUAUUAAAACAAAUUGAAAACAUGCAAGAGAAAUUAAGCAAAGAAAUAAUGAUGCUGCAGCAGCUUGAGGAAGCAGCAGAUAAGAGAGCAUACAAAAAGGUACAUCCAAAGAAGUCAAGAAAUUUAAGCAUUUCAGAGAUUCAAAUUAUUUAUCAAA
rnacentral:lncRNA from 1 species